AUUGAACGCUGGCGGCAGGCCUAACACAUGCAAGUCGAGCGAGCGGCGGACGGGUGAGUAAUGUCUGGGAAACUGCGUGAUGUAGGGGGGUAACUACUGGAAACGGUAGCUAAUACCGCAUACCAUCAGAUGUGCCCAGAUGGGGUUAGCUAGUAGGUGGGGUAACGGCUCACCUAGGCGACGAUCCCUAGCUGGUCUGAGAGGAUGACCAGCCACACUGGAACUGAGACACGGUCCAGACUCCUACGGGAGGCAGCAGGGGGGAAUAUUGCACAAUGGGCGCAAGCCUGAUGCAGCCAUGCCGCGUGUGUGAAGAAGGCCUUCGGGUUGUAAAGCACUUUCAGCGGGGAGGCGUUACCCGCAGAAGAAGCACCGGCUAACUCCGUGCCAGCAGCCGCGGUAAUAC
rnacentral:rRNA from 1 species